UACGUAGGGCGCAAGCGUUGUCCGGAAUUAUUGGGCGUAAAGAGCUCGUAGGCGGUCUGUCGCGUCGGAUGUGAAAGCCCGGGGCUUAACCCCGGGUCUGCAUUCGAUACGGGCAGACUAGAGUGUGGUAGGGGAGAUCGGAAUUCCUGGUGUAGCGGUGAAAUGCGCAGAUAUCAGGAGGAACACCGGUGGCGAAGGCGGAUCUCUGGGCCAUUACUGACGCUGAGGAGCGAAAGCAUGGGGAGCGAACAGG
rnacentral:rRNA from 1 species